ensembl:lncRNA
GAUCCUUAACCCACUGAGCGCAGACAGGGAUUGGACCUGCAUCCUCAUGGAUGCUAGUUGGGUUUAUAACCUGUUGAGCCACAACAGGAAUUCCAACUGAUUCAUCUUUGUAACCCUAGAGCCCAGCAUGGGGCCUGGCAAAUCAGAGUCUUGGGACAGUUCGCGGAAUGAAUGAAUGAUCUCCAGUUAAUGCCCAUUAAGUUAUCCAGGGUACAGCUGAAGCCUCGUAUCUUCAGAGGGUAGAGAGAGGGAUGUUUCCGGAAAUGACCUUUCGCUACUUGCUUGACGUGUUUUGCAAUAACAGGGCUUGAACUUCUGCUCGACACUUACUCUCUGUGGUGAGAGAUGAAGAAACACUUCCUUUGUUCACACUUGGCUCUGGGGCUGUGUAGCUGGGCAGAGGCCUCGCUCACUUCCGCUGCCCUGGGAGCCCCUGGAUCUGCCCUGUGGACCAGGCAUGGUGAGACAGGUCUCGUGGAGGUGGAGUCACCUAACUCCACAGUUGAGUGAAUUGGGCAUUUUCUAUAUUUUGGGGUGCUCAGCAUUCUACCUACUUUCCUGUUUGGGGGCAUCCCCAAGAUGUAAGUCUUGAGAAAAGCAGAGCUCUACCUCUCAGUACAGAAGCUAAGGUGGACCAGAUGUGCAUUUUUCCCACCUCCAGCUGCUUGGGCCCUGGUCUAUGGCAUCCGUGCAGGCCCACAACUUAGAUUCCAGCUUGAGCGCUGCAACAAUGGAGCUCAGUUGGAGCUUCCUCAGAGUCAAGAGUAUCCCACGAACAUCAUGUGACAUGACCUUGGCCACGUCUCCCCUCUGCCCAGUCUUCCCUGGUUCCUUAUCCCAGCCUGGUUCCCAGAGUGGCUGAUGAUUCUGGGAGUUUCCCAUUAUUUUCUCAUCCAAUUCCCUUUUUUCUUUUCUGCUGUCUAUGAUUAGCAACCCUGACUGACAGUACCUCCGAGGUCAGAGUAAGGCACCCAGUCCCUAAGAUGGACCCAACAUGGUGAGAUGGGUGAGCUCACUCUGGAUGCUUCCCAUCUCCUGCCUCCCUUUUUGGGGUGUCAGUGCCACCUAGCCUGAUCUCUGGUCCACUGCAGUGCAGGUCCAUAAACAUCAGGUCACCUACCGUGUGUCAGGCAUUGUUCUUGGAAGGACAGGGAUGCAGAUCAGGUGCCUCCAGUGCAAAGGUGGAGAUGGACACAUGGGUGGGUCUUUCUGCCCAGGCUGGUGGAAGAAGAGGGGCAGGCAAAGCCACUGCCAUUGCACAAGACACUCUUGACCUUGAUGAGAACCUGCAAAGAAGAGGUGAUACUGGAGCUGAUGGUAGGGUGCAAGGAGUGAGCUAGCAGACUACGCUGACAGAAGAAGGUGUUUCUGCUCUGUUUCUGCUCAGAGCAUCCGAGCCAGGGAGAUAAUAGGUGUUACAGGCAGGGAGAGGGUGGUGGCUGGUCAGUUAGGAAGGGAAGGCAGGAUGACCUGGAUGCCAGUGGUCAGCAAAUGUCUUCUAUAAAGAACCAGAUGGUAGAUUUCUAGGUUUUAUAGGCCAGGUGGUCUCUGUCACAACGGCUCUACUCUGCCAUCGGGCUGCCCAAGCAUCCUGAGACAAUCCAUGAGUGAGUGGGUGUGACCAUGUUCCAAUAAAACUUUAUUGAUAGAAGCAGGUGGUGGACCUGAUUUAGCCCACCGUAGUUCGUUUUGCCAAUCCCCGGUUCAAAAAAAUUUUCUUUUUUUUUUUUUUUUUUUUUUUGUCCUUUUGCCAUUUCUUGGGCCACUGCCACAGCAUAUGGAGGUUCCCAGGCUAGGGGUCUAAUCGGAGCUGUAGCCACCGGCCUACGCCAGAGCCACAGCAACGCGGGAUCCGAGCUGUGUCUGAGAUCCACACCACAGCUCACAGCAAUGCUGGAUCCUUAACGCACUGAGCAAGGUCAGGGAUCGAACCCGCAACCUCAUGGUUCCUAGUCGGAUUUGUUAACCACUGAGCCAUGACGGGAACUCCUACUUCUGAUUGGUGAUAGCAGUAAACUCAAGCCAGCUCAGCUAGGGAAAGGAAUAUAUGAAUACAUGCAACUGAAACAUCCAGGGGUAUGGUAAGCUUUAGGUGCAGUUUGAUCUGGGCACUGGCCCAUUUCUCUGCUGUUCUCUCAGCUCUGCCCUCCCGGGUGAACAUCCUCCUCAGUCUUCCUCCCUCGUGGGUGGCAAUGAGGCCGCAGCUAUUCCAGCCUUCACGUCUAAUUCUCUUCCACAAUUCUCAUUGGACCACCUUAGGUCACGUGCACACCCUGGAGCCAAUCCCAAUGGCCAGGAGAAUGCGUGCUGAUUGGCUUAGGCUUGGGUUCCUGCCUCCUUGUAUUGCCCACUGUGACAAAGGAAUUAGGACCCCUGGGGCUGCUUGCCUAGGCCAGCUGGGAGCUGCCUGCAAAGAGAGAUAGUUCUGCCAGACUGUGUGCCCUCUACCCAGCAGGACAGGGCGGAACGAGGCCACUCAUGAGAGGGUUGGAAGAAGAGCAGUGCAGAAAUGUACCAUUUCUAGAAAAAUCACUAUGGUGACAUUGGGGAGAAGAGCCAGCCUAGAGGCAGGGACACCUUGGGAAGUGUUUCUGAGACCGGUAGUAAGGCAGUGGGACUGGGUGUUGAAAAGAGAGAAUGAAUUUGAGAACAGUUUGGGAAAUGGAAUGGCUAGCACGUGUGAUUAGUUUACUGUGUGUGAAGUGGAUAAUGGAGAGGGAGGAAGAAAGACAUAGUUGUCGAGGAAUCCCCGUUUCUAUUAGUUUGGUCACUAGUAGAGCUAGAUGAGGGACACUUUUGUAAGGGACAACGUGGAGUUCUUGUAAGGAGCGUGAUGAGUUCCGAGGCUGCCUUUCUUUUUUUGGUCUUUUUAGGGCUGCACCCGAGGCAUAUGGAGGUUCCCAAGCUAGAGGUCGAAUCGGAGCUGUAGCCGCUGGCCAGUCACAGCCAUGCCAGAUCCAAGCCACGUCUGUGACCUACACCACAGCUCACGGCAACACCAGAUCCUUAACCCACUGAGCGAGGCCAGGGAUCAAACCUGCAACCUCAUGAACACUAGUCAGAUUCGUUCCUGCUGAGCCACCAUGGGAACUCCCAUGGCUGCCUUAAUGUCAUCCCAGCCUUGCCUGCCAGAAGAGCCCCGCCUUUGACCUGCAGAAUUUAGGGACAACCCAGAAAAGCGGUGUUCCCAUCGAGGAAAGGUUGUUCUCCCUCCUUGCUCUGUAUUCCUCUUUGCUCUGGCUGCCAGGAAGCUCAGAGCCAGAUUCAUGUUUAAUCACAGCAGCUGUAACCUGUCCUUAGGUGCAGUCUAUCUGCUUUACUUCCAUUCUCAUUGCCCCCUUUCAAAGGUAUUGGUCUGGGAGUUCCCAUUGUGAGUCAGCAGGUUAUGAACCCGACUAGUAUCGAUGAGGUUUCAGGUUCGAUCCCUGGCAUUGCUCAGUGUGUUAAGGAUCUGGCAUUGCCACAAGCUGUGGUGUAGGUUGCAGAUAUGGCUCAGAUCUGGCAUUGCUGUGGCUGUGGUGUAGGCCGGCAGCUGUAGCUCCGAUUCAACCCUGAGCCUGGAAUUUCCAUAUGCCACA